rnacentral:rRNA from 1 species
AUUGAACGCUGGCGGCAUGCCUUACACAUGCAAGUCGAACGGUGACGCGGGGCAACCUGGCGACGAGUGGCGAACGGGUGAGUAAUGCAUCGGAACGUGCCCGGUAGUGGGGGAUAACUGCUCGAAAGAGCAGCUAAUACCGCAUACGACCUGAGGGUGAAAGGGGGGGAUCGCAAGACCUCUCGCUAUCGGAGCGGCCGAUGUCGGAUUAGCUAGUUGGUGGGGUAAAAGCCCACCAAGGCAACGAUCCGUAGCUGGUCUGAGAGGACGACCAGCCACACUGGGACUGAGACACGGCCCAGACUCCUACGGGAGGCAGCAGUGGGGAAUUUUGGACAAUGGACGCAAGUCUGAUCCAGCCAUGCCGCGUGCGGGAAGAAGGCCUUCGGGUUGUAAACCGCUUUUGUCAGGGAAGAAAUCUUCUGAGUUAAUACCUCGGGAGGAUGACGGUACCUGAAGAAUAAGCACCGGCUAACUACGUGCCAGCCGCCGCCGUAACAC